rnacentral:rRNA from 1 species
CCUACGGGAGGCAGCAGUGGGGAAUAUUGCGCAAUGGGCGAAAGCCUGACGCAGCGACGCCGCGUGAGGGAUGAAGGUCCUCGGAUCGUAAACCUCUGUCAGCAGGGAAGAACGGUCACUGUGCUAAUCAGCAGUGAAUUGACGGUACCUGCAAAGGAAGCACCGGCUAACUCCGUGCCAGCAGCCGCGGUAAUACGGAGGGUGCGGGCGUUAAUCGGAAUUACUGGGCGUAAAGCGCUCGUAGGCGGUAUGUCAAGUCAAGGGUGAAAUCCCCGCGCUCAACGUGGGAACUGCCUUUGAAACUGGCAGACUGGAGUGUGUGAGAGGAUAGUGGAAUGCCAGGUGUAGGAGUGAAAUCCGUAGAUAUCGGGAAGAACAUCAAUGGCGAAGGCGACUAUCUGGCACAUAACUGACGCUGAGGAGCGAAAGCGUGGGUAGCAAACAGGAUUAGAUACCCUUGUAGUC